UAAGUUAGCAUAAGAGUAGCCAUCUUAAGGGCCUAGAAGCAGUUUUCUGAAGUUGUGACUUAAAAGAAAAAAAACUGGAACUGGGUAAGGCCUUGGAAAACAAGUUAAUCAUGAACACCGGGAUGGGGGCAGCUGUGGCCUUCAGUCAGCUAACCUUGGUCAGUUAAUCCUACAUACCAAGCUUAUCGUGCAGAACCUCCCUAACAAUUGAGGAGUGGCCUUACCUUGCUCUCGCUUAACCCCAGGAUGUAUGUCUUGCAAAGAUAAUGUGCAGCUGUGGAAAAUUACUAAGAGUUAAGUGUUUUGAAAAUGCUAUAUAAACCCUUGGUUUUGAGUGCUCGAGGUCCUUGUUGAAACCCGCUGUGUCGGGCAGACACUUGGACCCCAGCUAGCUGGAAUAACAAUAAACCUCUUGCUUGUUGCAUCGAUCUGCUGUGGCCUUCGUCUCCUCACUGGGGGAGAAGUGCAGACCGGAAUAAGGCCGUUGGGUCUUACAUUUGGGGGCUCGUCCGGGAUCGCGUGCCCCCCCCCGGAGGAACGACAAGCCAAGGAUCGGAGGCUUGCCCUGGCCAGCUUUUUUCCCCUCCUGAAGAUGAAAGCAGAAAAAUCUACCAUCUGCUACCAUUCUCUCAAGAAUGCUUGAAAUAUCAGAAUUUCCUUAUGUCAACUGUCUUACAGUGAGCUCUCGUCAGAUCUUUGACCAUUGUCAUUUGUAAGUUUUUUGUCAUUUAUAGUCACUGUUUUGUUGUUCCUGGACUGGUAAAGAACUGGAUUUCAGCAGAACAGGUAUUAGUUGCAUAAGAUUACAUAAACUAAAGAAAAUGGUUUUGUGUCUUUUUGUUUCGAAUGUUGCUGAUAGUGUUUUGAGCUUGUUCUCUUAAGCUGACAACAGUUUAGUAGAUGGCUGUCUUUAUAAGCAGAAUUGAGACAUCCUUCUCUCUACCUGAUCCCUACAGAGUUUAAAAACUUUUAGUGACUGUUUUUGUAUUCCAUGGCAGUAUGUUUAUUUGCACGAGUUUAGUAAGAAUCUGCUUUCCUUGUGAGAAGACUAAUUAAGAACACUGGUUAUACUGCCAGGGCUUUGGCUGGAAUGUCAUACCUGAGAGACAUGUGCAUGGACUCAGAUGUGAACAACUUUAAGGAACUAAGAUUGACUUUAUAGGGCCAACAAAGCCCCUUGGAAGAACUAGCCUGGUACCUUGCUUGCAGAGUUCCCAGCAGCCUUACCAGGUGAGUAAAGAAAGUCGCUUCCUGGCAGGUGCAGAGACCUCGAGAAGAGAGGAAUUCAUCCAAAUCUACAGGUACUGCAGGCAAAGCCUGAUGGCAGGUCUGGCUUGGCUGUCUAGCCUCAAGAGGCCUUUAAAAGUUCAAUCUGAAGUUCCUUGCAAAAAGUUCCAGCAAAGCAUAUUUAAAAGAGCCUGUGUAAUCAAUUGCUCUUCUUGCUGCACUUGUGCAAAUAAUCAAGCCAGCUGUUAAUUAUUUUCUUAACCUGGUUACUUCUAAUAAAAAUGGAAGUGAUUUUAAAGUAUUGUUUCAAUAACGCAGCCUUCUUCCAGAAUAGAAAAUCCAACUCCAGAUGUUGGUACAUAACCUAAUAACACAAUUUGUUUUAUCUUGCCUAGAAGCCACAAAACUGCAAAUAGUAAUAGAAACAAAACCCAGAAUAGAAGCGCCAGCCUUCUGAGGCCCUCUCAACUGACCAGUGAUAGAGACCUAGCUGCACCCUUUACCGCGCCCCCUUCUCAGCACGAAGCAGCCAGAGCGGUCAUCGCCCCUUUUCCCUAGCAGCAGCUAGAGUCUCUACCUGUAGAAGAGAGAAUGAGACAGGGACCAUAG